rnacentral:lncRNA from 1 species
AGGCAUACUCCUUUAACACUAUUGUAAUAAAAGCAAAAUCUGGAAGAUCUUUAAGAGUGUAGCAGUUGCUUCCAAGGGAGGCUGAAUUUUAGGAAUGAAGUUACAUAUAACAUUGACAUAUCUGGGGGAAAGACUAGAAAAAUAUAGUUUCAUUGCUUUUUUGUGUGUUUUUGUUCUUGUUUGAGACGGAGUGUCACUCUGUCACCCAGGCUGGAGUGCAGUUGUGCUAUCUUGGCUCACUGCAACCUCUGCCUCCUGGGUUCAAGCGAUUCUCCUGCCUCAGCCUCCUAAGUAGCUGGGACUACAGACGCCUGCCACCAUGCCCAGCUAAUUUUUGUAUUUUUAGUAGAGAUGGAGUUUCACCAUAUUGGCCAGGCUGGUCUCGAACUCCUGACCUCAGGUGAUCCACCUGCCUCGACCUCUGAAAGUGUGGGAUUAGAGGCGUGAGCCACCAUGCCUGGCCAGUUUUAUUGU